GGAGUUGUGGCUCAGCGCUAGAGCACUCGCCUAGUGUGAUCGAGGCCCUGGGUUCAAUCCUCAGCACCACCU
rnacentral:tRNA from 1 species